CGGACGGGUGAGUAACGCGUGAGAAUCUGGCUUCAGGUCUGGGACAACCACUGGAAACGGUGGCUAAUACCGGAUGUGCCGAGAGGUGAAAGGUUAACUGCCUGAAGAUGAGCUCGCGUCUGAUUAGCUAGUUGGAAGUGUAAUGGACUCCCAAGGCGACGAUCAGUAGCUGGUCUGAGAGGACGAUCAGCCACACUGGGACUGAGACACGGCCCAGACUCCUACGGGAGGCAGCAGUGGGGAAUUUUCCGCAAUGGGCGAAAGCCUGACGGAGCAAUACCGCGUGAGGGAGGAAGGCUCUUGGGUCGUAAACCUCUUUUCUCAGGGAAGAACAAAAUGACGGUACCUGAGGAAUAAGCAUCGGCUAACUCCGUGCCAGCAGCCGCGGUAAUACGGAGGAUGCAAGCGUUAUCCGGAAUGAUUGGGCGUAGAGCGUCCGCAGGUGGCUAUGUAAGUCUGCUGUUAAAGAGUCUAGCUCAACUAGAUAAGAGCAGUGGAAACUACAAGGCUAGAGUACGUUCGGGGCAGAGGGAAUUCCUGGUGUAGCGGUGAAAUGCGUAGAGAUCAGGAAGAACACCGGUGGCGAAGGCGCUCUGCUAGGCCGUAACUGACACUGAGGGACGAAAGCUAGGGGAGCGAAUGGGAUUAGAUACCCCAGUAGUC
rnacentral:rRNA from 1 species